GCCUAUGCCACCUGUGUCGGUACGUCGUUCUGCAGGCCCGAGUAGUUCCGCUGCGACAACUCGUUCAGAGGUUCAGGUCGGUUCAAGUGUACCUCCUGCUCAGAGUGACCUUGUACCACCAGUUUUUUCCUUGUCCCCAUCAGAGCAACCUGGCACCAGUCAGCAGGUUCUGUGUCGGACUGCUCGCUCUACAGCUGGUUAACAUUCCAACGUUCACCAUCUUCCGCUGUCUGCGGGUCAGCUGGGUAAUCCACCACAGCCGGCGCAGCCUAUGUCUAAUGUCCAGAUAGCCGUUUUCAGACCCUGGUGGUAGUUUGUUUGUUGGUUCAUCGUCGGGGCGGCGAUGCAAAAUCUGGGGGUAGAUGUGGCAGAGUGUUUCCUGCGGCCAUCACUCGCCGAGUCUGGGCAGCUGCUUCCUCCUGCUGUCGCCGACAUACGGUUGCCCUGCUCUCCGUACGCGGUCACAACGUUGCCGUUGUCUGCGCUGCUGCUGUCUUGGCUGCUGUUGAUUUCUCGGAGUGUAACACUGAAAUAAGUGUUUCAUUGAAGAACACCACGGGCGCUUUCACGGGACUGUGUGAGGCGAAAUAACUGCCCGGUGGCUUUGCUCGGGCCUCCAUCGGCGCACCGUUUCAGCUGUCUGCUGGCUCGUGUUUAUAUACAUGCGCAGACACAUUAUGAGUCUAAUUGUUUGAUUUAUCUCCCCUACUUUUGUUAUUUUCUCUAUUGACUAUUAAGUUUGUGUUUUGAUUGUUUUGAUUUAUUGUGUUAAAUUGUUUUGUUUCUGUUGUUUAAUUUGGGUUAUAGUGGUAUGAGGGCUGCCAGUAUUGCAUGAGUUUAAUUGUGUGUGUGUUCUCAUUUUGUUACAGGUGCUGAGGGCCCCAGAACGGCAGCGGUUCCCUGGUGGUGGAUCCUUUUUUCACUUUUGGUUUGCUGUUUCACGGGUGUUGUGUAGUUUUGGAUCCCUCCCCUUUUUGUUUCCGCUGUCGUGGUAAGCCCCAGCCCUGUCCUUAUUUCCUUUUGGCAGUCCCCAUACCACUGAUAUUUUCCCUUAUUUAGUUUGUUCCUUACUUAGUCUGCUUUCAUUUAGUCUGUUUUAAUAACUGUUAAUAAAGUAUUUUUAUAUUGUGAAAUCACGUUCUCGUGUCCUGUGGAUAAUUCGAACCGC